CCCACCAGACACUGGACUAUUAAUAGAGCCCCGGAGUUUGCUCUGUGUCUUUUUCCUGCCACCGAAUAAGGGAUGAUCACACACACCCCACUCCGCCCCCACCUCGGCGCACAGUUCCUCUGUGAAGGGACAAGCGGGAUGGGGAAAGUUUGGCACCACGGAGGUGGUGGUGGCAGCAACCAGCGGCGGCUCACAGGGGUCCCGAUAGGAGGCAGGGUCGCCGAAAACCCCGGCCCGGUCGCCUCCUUACCUCCGUGCUUUCGACUGCGUUCUCCGCCAUUUUCCUCCGGAGGAGCAGGCAGCGGGAGGAGUGUUUCAUGCCCAUAAGAGCCAACAAGGGUUUGGGGAUUCGAGAUAGUAAAGAACGAGAGAAGGCU